rnacentral:rRNA from 1 species
GAAGGGGCUAGCGUUGCUCGGAAUUACUGGGGCGUAAAGGGGCGCGUAGGCGGAUCGUUAAGUCAGAGGUGAAAUCCCACGGGCUCAACCCUGGGAACUGCCUUUGAUACUGGCGAUCUUGAGUAUGAGAGAGGUAUGUGGAACUCCGAGUGUAGAGGUGAAAUUCGUAGAUAUUCGGAAGAACACCAGUGGCGAAGGCGACAUACUGGCUCAUUACUGACGCUGAGGCGCGAAAGCGUGGGGAGCAAACAGGAUUAGAUACCCUGGUAGUCCACGCCGUAAACGAUGAUUGCUAGUUGUCGGGCUGCAUGCAGUUCGGUGACGCAGCUAACGCAUUAAGCAAUCCGCCUGGGGAGUACGGUCGCAAGAUUA